rnacentral:rRNA from 1 species
AGCGAGGGAACUCGACAAAUUAGCCCCGUACCUUUGGUAUAAGGGGUGCCUGCAGUUUCGGCCUUUGGCUGGAACAGCAGGUCGCAGUGACAAAGGGGUCCCGACUGUUUAAUAAAAACACAGGAAACCGCAAGCGCGAAAGCGUGUGAACGGUUUCUGAAUCCUGGCCAGUACAGGUACCUGAAAUCCAGGUUCAACUGGGCUAAGGGCCUGCAAACGCCGGGAGUAACUCUGACUCUCUCAAGGUAGCCAAAUGCCUUGUCGGGUAAGUUCCGACGUGCAUGAAUGGAUCAACGAGGGCCCCGCUGUCCCCGCGUAGUACCCGGUGAAACCACAUAACGUGGACGAACAGUCCACGAACUCCCAGCGGGAAAAGAAGUCCCUGUGGAGUUUUACUGCAGCCUGCCGCUGGAAUACGUUUGCGGAUGCAGAGCGUAGACGGGAGCCGCUAAUCCUGGUUUCUCCGGGAACUGGGGGAGGCAACAAUGGAACACCGUCCUUCUGCGACCGUGUUUCUUACCGGCGCUUCGGCGCUGGAACAACGGUAGGUGGGCAGUUCGGCUGGGGCGGCACGCCCUUGAAAAGAUAUCAAGGGCGCCCUAAGGUCGGCUCAGACGGGACAGAAACCCGUCGUAGAGUGCAAAGGCAAAAGCCGGCCUGACUGGAUCCUCCAAAGUAAGGGAUCCAGAGGCGAAAGCCGGGCUUAGCGAUCAUCCAUGUCCCCCUUGGUGGGGGCUGGAUGUGUCAGAAAAAUUACCCUAGGGAUAACAGGCUCGUCGCGGGCGAGAGUCCCUAUCGACCCCGCGGCUUGGUACCUCGAUGUCGGCUCUUCCUAUCCUGGCCCUGCAUAAGGGGCCAAGGGUGAGGCUGCUCGCCUAUUAAAAGGGAACGUGAGCUGGGUUUAGACCGUCGUGAGACAGGUCGGUCUUUAUCUGCUGGGAGUGCAGGCUGCCUGAGGGGAAAGGGUCCCCAGUACGAGAGGAACGGGACGCUGUGGCCACUAGUUAACCGGUUGUCCGAUAGGGCAAACGCCGGGCAGCCACGCCGCUGAGAAUAAGGGCUGAAAGCAUCUAAGCCCGAAGUCUCUCCUGAAAAUAGGCAGCCAUUCCCCUAACGGGGACGAAGGCUCCCAUAAAAGAUGGGUUUGAUGGAACCGGGGUGUAAGCUGGAAGGUUUCGACCGACCAGCUCAGCCCGCGGUCUCCAACCGCCUAAGGUGUCGGAC